rnacentral:lncRNA from 1 species
CACAGGAAGAGUUUAAGGACAUCAUAAACUGAGCUAAGGUGACUGUCUUUGUGUGUUCUGCUAUAACAGAUUUUGAUGGACUUCUUACAGCCCUGGGAAUUGGGUGUCUAUGAUCAAAGCAAUAGCAGUUUGAGCACUCAGACUCUACUUGAAUAUGGCUCUUUGUACACCACAUUGUCCAGUAGCAGGAGCAGCCUAAUUGGACAAGAAGGUUGGAAAUCACCUAGAAGAAGUGAGAAGAAGGACCAAGUAAGAGAUGCGAAAUCAAGACUUCAUCAUUAACCUUUAGAUGCAUCAGAAUUUUUUUUUAGUAUGUAUCAGAUAAUUCAACAUCUUGAAAAUGGCAGAUGUUCCAAUAGGAUUCUCAAUAUUCCUUUCCUAACAUAAUGUAUAUGGCCAUAUGAAAAAAAAAAACCUGAAGAUCAAUGUUUUCUAUGGUAUCUUCUGCACUUGAGAUUCUCUCUUCUAUCUCUUGCAUUCUAUUGGUGAUGCUUGCAUCUAUGAGUCCUGAUCUCUUUCAUAGGAUUUCCAUCAAAGCUUCUGUAAGGGAAAGGACACUGUCAAUAGGCCAGAAUGGCAACCAACAGAUCAGGAAGAGUUCUUUGCAAACCCUACAUCUGAUAGAGGGUUAAUAUCCAAUGUAUACAAAGAACUCAAGAAGUUAGACCCCAGAGAACCAAAUAAAACUAUUAAAAAUGGUGUAGGGAGCUAAAAAGAGAAUUCUCAACUGAGGAAUACCAAAUGGCUGAGCAGUACCUAAAGAAAAUUUUAACAUCCUUAGUCAUCAUGGAAAUGCAAAUCAAAACAACCCUGAAACCUCAUAUCAGUUAGAAUGGCAAAGAUCAAAAACUCCGUGACAGCAGAUGCUGGAGAGGUUGGGGAGAAAGAGAAACACUCCUCCAAUGCUGGUGGGAUUGCAAGCUGGUACAACCACGCUGGAUAUCAGUUUGGCAGUUCCUCCGAAAAUUGGACAUAGGACUACCAGCUGUACCACUCCUGGGCAUAUAUCCAGAAGAUGCUCCAACAUGUAAUAAGGACACAUACUUCUCUAUGUUCAUAGCAGCCUUAUUUAUAAUAGCCAGAAGCUGGAAACAUCUCAGGUAACCCUCAACAGAGGAAUGGAUACAGAAAAUGUGGUACAUUUACACAAUGGAGUACUACUUAGCUAUUAAAAACAAUGAAUUUAUGAAAUUCUUAGGCAAAUGGAUGGACCUGGAGGGCAUCAUCCUGAGUGAGGUAACCAAUCACAAAAGAACACACAUGCAUGUACUCACUGAUAAGUGGAUAUUAGCCCAGAAUAUACAGUGGAGUAUCCAACAUACAGUUCACAAACCACAUGAAAUUCAAGAAGAAGGAAAAUCAAAGUGUGGAUACUUCAGUCCUUCUUAGAAGGGGGAACAAAAUACCCAUAAGAGGAGAUACAGAGACAAAAUGUGGAACAGCGACUGAAUGAAAGGCCAUCCAGGGACCGCCCCACCUGGGGAAUCCAUCCUAUACACAGUUACCAAACCCAGACACUGUUGUGGAUGCCAGCAAGUGCUUGCUGAUAUAGCUAACUCCUGAGUGGCUCUGCCAGUGCCUGGCAAAUACAGAGGUGGAUACUCUUAACCAUUAGACUGAGCACAGGGUCUCCAAUGGAGGAGCUAGAGAAAGAACUGAAGUAUCUGAAAGGGUUUGUAGUCCCAUUGGAGGAACAACAAUAUCAACCAAUCAGUACCCCCUAGCUCCCAGGGACUAAACCACCAAUUAAAGAGUACACAUGUAGGGACCCAUGGCUCCAACUUCAUAUGUAGCAGAGAAUGAACUUGUCGGACAUCAAUGGGAGGAGAGGUCCUUGGUCCUGUGAAGGCUCUAUGUCCCAGUGUAGGAGAAUGCCAGGACAGGGAAGCAAAAGUAGGUGGGUUGGGUGACCAGAGCGGG